rnacentral:rRNA from 1 species
AGAGGUCCCGCCUGCCGUGUGACUUAAAGUUUAACGGCCGCGGUAUUUUGACCGUGCGAAGGUAGCGCAAUCACUUGUCUUUUAAAUGGAGACCUGUAUGAAUGGCACAACGAGGGCUUAACUGUCUCCUCUUUCCAGUCAAUGAAAUUAAUCUUCCCGUGCAGAAGCGGGAAUAUACUCAUAAGACGAGAAGACCCUAUGGAGCUUUAGACACUAAGACGAAUCAUGUUAAGUACCUCUAAAUAAAGAACCAAACCAGAUGAACCUCGCCCUAUAUGUCUUUGGUUGGGGCGACCGCGGGGAAAUACAAAACCCCCACGUGGAAUGGGAACACCCCUCCUACAACUCAGAGCUCCCGCUCUAAUAAACAGAACUUCUGACCAAUCAGAUCCGGCAAAGCCGAUCAACGGACCGAGUUACCCUAGGGAUAACAGCGCAAUCCCCUUCUAGAGCCCAUAUCGACAAGGGGGUUUACGACCUCGAUGUUGGAUCAGGACAUCCUAAUGGUGCAGCCGCUAU